rnacentral:rRNA from 1 species
GACGAACCGUGCGAACGUUGUUCGGAAUCACUGGGCUUAAAGGGCGCGUAGGCGGGCUGGCCAGUCAGGGGUGAAAGCCCACGGCUCAACCGUGGAAGUGCCUUUGAUACUGCCAGCCUGGAGGGGGAUAGGGGCGUGCGGAACUUCCGGUGGAGCGGUGAAAUGCGUAGAUAUCGGAAGGAACACCGGUGGCGAAAGCGGCGCGCUGGAUCCCUACUGACGCUGAGGCGCGAAAGCCAGGGGAGCGAACGGG